UACGUAGGGGGCAAGCGUUAUCCGGAUUUACUGGGUGUAAAGGGAGCGUAGACGGCAUGGCAAGCCAGAUGUGAAAGCCCGGGGCUCAACCCCGGGACUGCAUUUGGAACUGUCAGGCUAGAGUGUCGGAGAGGAAAGUGGAAUUCCUAGUGUAGCGGUGAAAUGCGUAGAUAUUAGGAGGAACACCAGUGGCGAAGGCGGCUUUCUGGACGAUGACUGACGUUGAGGCUCGAAAGCGUGGGGAGCAAACAGG
rnacentral:rRNA from 1 species